rnacentral:lncRNA from 1 species
AUGUCCUCUGUGAAAGAAGAGGCUUCAGAAUACUAUGAUGAUGCCAUCACUGCGCCCCAGAGUCCAGACACUGUGUUAGGUGUCCCCCACACUGGCCCUGGAUUGGACAAGGUCCUGCCCACACUGCCCACUGAUGAAGGAGCAGCUGCCCCCGAUGGGACUGACUAUGAUGAUGUUGGGGACGAGUCUCAGGGAGAGGAUGGGUGCUGUGAGACUAACAGGGCUGUCUGGGAGAAGCUCCUCCUCCAGGUCUAGACACAGAAGAGCUUCACCAAGUCACAGUCUUAAAGCAGCUCUGAGCACUGAGACUGUCUGAGACUGUCUGUGACCUGAGGCCACUUCACUCCACUCUUUCUAUAUACUGAUGAUGUCUGUAGCCUGGCUGCAUUUCACUGUCCUCAAUGACUUUGUCUACAGGAAGUGCAGUUUAGGUUUUAUAACACAGACUGAGCAGAUAUGGUAUCUUCAAGGUCUCUGUUUUCCUACAAUUUGAU